AUCUGUCCAAGUAAACCAAAGUUUAAAAAUACAUACAAAUUUAGAGAACGUAUUCUUAUUUCGAUUGUAUAAUACAACAUGUCUUCGGGUUUCCGUCUGAUAACCGGAAUCUCUGCGGCUCUGAUGUCUCUGCUCAGUCCUGAGAAUCUCGGCUCUGUACCCAACGUCAGUAGAUGCGGUGCAGCGUGUAUCAGCGACCCUCGAUGCGGUGGAUUCGUUUGGGAUACACUCGAGCCGGUGGCAUGCAAGUUUGUGGUGGACCGAGAUGAAGCAGGCGCUGAGUGGGAGAUCGUCCAACAGGCCUAUACCUACUAACAACAUACGACAAUGCAACCUUGGUCGAGAUUCCUGCUCCUCUGCACUUAUCUUGGCAACAAGCGUCCAAGGAGUGUGCUGACAAGGGCGCCAGACUCGUCACGUACCCUCGUAACGUAAAGGAACGAGUGGCACUGACCAUCAGACGUCAAAGUUGGUUCUACGUAGACCUCCAGCGUCAGGAUGAUGGUAGUUACUCGUCAGUCAACACAAACAUGGUCCUACCAAGCGACCAUGACUUUCAGUGGUACCACAACAACCCGCAUGGAGGGUCUGAAAAGUGCUUGGGGAUGGGAGGUUCUUACUUGGAAACGUUCGACUAUCCUUGUGAUCGGGUUGACGAUUGGGACUACAGCGUGUUUUGUCUUGUAGAAUAAGCGCUGCUAUUGACUUCAUUGAUGUUUUACUUAUAAAUUGUUGUUGUUGCAUGUAAAUUUCUUUCGCGUGGGUCAACAAUAAUUGAUCUAAGCAGAUCCAAGACGCAGGCUGUGUUCUCGCACGCGACAAAAAUGAGUUGAGUUCAAUCCUGUUGUCUCGUUUAAUAAAUUCCGAUUUAUACAAGGACUAAACCACGACAUGUGUUAGUACAAACAACGUGACGCGAAGAUGUCAACUGACUAGAAUUUUUUCAUUAUAUACGUUGAAGUUGCUCGUUAAUAAACAUUGGAUAUUUGCAUUAA